rnacentral:rRNA from 1 species
AUUGAACGCUGGCGGCAGGCCUAACACAUGCAAGUCGAGCGAGCGGCGCACGGGUGAGAAAUGUCUGGGAAACUGCCUGAUGGGGGGGGAUAACUACUGGAAACGGUAGCUAAUACCGCAUACGAUCAGAUGUGCGCCGAUGGGAGUAGCUAGUAGUGGGGGUAAGGGCUCACCUAGGCGACGAUCCCUAGCUGGUCUGAGAGGAUGACCAGCCACACUGGAACUGAGACACGGUCCAGACUCCUACGGGAGGCAGCAGUGGGGAAUAUUGCACAAUGGGCGCAAGCCUGAUGCAGCCAUGCCGCGUGUGUGAAGAAGGCCUUCGGGUUGUAAAGCACUUUCAGCGGGGAGGCGUUACCCGCAGAAGAAGCACCGGCUAACUCCGUGCCAGCAGCCGCGGUAAUUC